GGCUCGGACCCUGUGCAAUUUCAGCCUACGAACCGCGUCAGGGCCGGAAGGCAGCAGCGCUAAGUAGUCACUGACAUGUGCCGCAGGCUCUUCCGGGUCGCG
rnacentral:SRP_RNA from 1 species